UGCUUGGGCUGCUCGAAUUCAGCGCAACAAGAUGUUUUACUCAGGAAAUUCGUCUAUUUUUUCUUUAUUUUGGAGAGGUGGUUCUACAUGAUGCUGAUCCCAGUAGGAGGACCUCCAUUCAUUCAUGUUUGAGCCGUGAAUUUUUAGACCAUGUUGUUGCUGCUACAUUGCCUUUUGAAAUCUUAACAAGAGAAAACUUCUAACUAAUUUCCCGACAUUACUCCCUCAGUUUUUCCCAUUAAUGCUAAAGCUCAUGAAAUGUAGAGAAAUCAGAAAAAUCGUUUCUAAGUGUGCUUCCAGCAUUGAUGUCUCUUGGAUUAUUUGUUCAUCUUAUUUCCAUCUCUCGUUGACUUACCAAGUGAGUUUGUUUUCCAGGAUUCCCUAGUAGUUACAUUAUGCUCCUUUUCGUGUCUUUCUUUCGUGGUUUUCGUCUCUUGCCAUAUUUCACCAAUGAGCAAAAAUGCCUAGGGAUAUGAAAAAAUUUACCAAAAAAUCUACCACUCACAUGGGUGUGGGACCAACACCCAUGUGAGUGUUUGCUAGAACAUUUGGGGUCUUGCAUUAUUGUUCACCAAUUGAAGUUCUAUUUACUCUAUUAAAAGCUACACCGUGUUAUUUUCCUUCCAUUAAUUUAUUGAUCAGUCAAAUAGGCCAUUUUGAAAUGCCUUAAUUAAAUUUGUUCAGAAAUUCAAAAUCUACAUGCUUGGUACUAGUUGGAAAACUGGAUUUUAUUAUUUUGAAUGAAAGCUAGAAAGAAUA